CAAAACAAUUCAUUUUAUCCACUUCAAGUACCUAGUGUUUGUAUCAUUUUCGGCUCUUACUCUGAUGCUGGAGCAGCUCACGUUUCCUGUCGAGCUCAGCCAGCUGAAGCCUCCAGGCUCACAGCCACCAUUGGACGGUGGGCCUGGGCUGGCAUGUGGACUGUAGUGCCAAUGCCGGUGUGCGAGACGACUAGGAGAGGAUGGGCCGCGUCACCUAGUCCCCAGGUGGGCGGCCUGCUCAUGUUCUCAGGUGGUCAGCGCCGUGCCCCGGCACCAGACAGCACCUGAACACGCCGUGGAGGAGCCGCUCGUGGUGUGCCAACGGGGCGUGUUCGGCAGCCUCCAGUUCGUAGAGCAGGCGCGGCGGCAGCUCAGCGAGUCGCCUGCUCAGGGGCACAGGGGAGCCGGCGCGACCACGGCCCGCCGCCAGCGGUGGCCGCCGUACCCGCCGCCGCGCCGACCGCCGGACGAGCGCGCGAUGGCGAAGCCGGCCACGACGGCGACGCCGAUGGCCAGCGCGGUGCCGGCCGAGAUGCCUUCGGUGGCGGAGCUUUCGAAGGCCAUCGAGGUCAGCAGGGCGAUCAGCAGCACUGCAGGGCCGGACAGUGUUUGGAGCUGUUCGGACUCUGGCGGCGGCGGCGGCGGCGACUGACGACCGGCCCGGCGGCGCGCGCAGCAUAUCUCGGGUCAGGGCGGCGACGUCCCACCGGGACCGGGCGGAGACUAGGGAUGGUGUCGCGGCUCUGGAUGGUGUCGGCGGCGCUAGACUCGGCCGUGGCUCCGCUGGCUCACUCUCCGGCGCCGCGGGCCGCUGAGCCAGCCGGAGCUCAGCGGUUCACCUCAGCAGGCUGCUGCGGACGGCCGUCGCCCCCUCGCCGCCAGUGCCGUCCAAGUUUGUCUGCAAUGAGAUACGGGAACCGACUACGAGAGCGCCCUAGAGGGCGGCAUCGGCGCGCCCGGCUACCGGCGGUAGGAGUACCGCGCCGGCAGCGCCGGGCCCGCCGCCGCCGGCCGCGGCCGCUCUCCCACGCCGCCGUCCCGGCUCGAGUCGCCGGCGGCGGCCCGGUCCCAGCCGGCUGACGGGGCGCGCUCCAGACGGAGUCCGACUGUGAGCCGGCGCCGACCGGGGCGGGCUCCGGGCGGCAGACGACCAGCCCGAGCAGCCGGCUGGGCCGGCGGACCACCGCCGCCGCCAGGGGUACGUGACUGGGUGGUAGCCGCGGUACGUAACCAGUGCUCCGAGUAGUUCGGAGUGGAGACAGAUCAAUAACACUUUGCUACUUGAUGAACAUUUUGACGUUAUUAAUCUACGGUUCUCGCACUUAUUCAUCGAUUGGCAAGCUCAGAAUCACGUGCACGAUCUAACGUUUUCAGAUCCCCUCGCCAACGCCUCCGCGGCUUCCAUCGACGACCUCUAGCCAGCAGGUCCAGCAGGUCCAGCGGCAGCAGCAGCAGCAGCGGAGCGCGGCGGAGAGCCAGCUCAUCGAAGCGACGGGUGAGCGUGAUAUCAGCUCAGCCCCCCCCCCCCUCCCAAUCGUUAGUGGCUGCAGAACCAUCUGGUUGUGUGUAGAGAUGGGCGCUGAGCCGGUGACAGACGCAUUAUUCAUUCCAUUCUACACCUUUCUGCGUUGUUCGUUGGCCAAUUAGCCUAAACCCAUUCGUCCGAUCAGCACAUAGGUGGCGCCAGUGAGAGGCAUUCCGGCAAAACCUUCAGCAUAUGGGCAAAACGGAAUGCUGAUCCCAAUCCACAGUUCGUCAGUUGGUAUAACCUUCGCUAUUCGCCAUAACUGAUUGAGUUCCGGCAGAACCUUUGACUAUUUGGAUAAAUGCUUCGUCUUUCGUUAGUAUCCCUUCGUCGUUCACCAAAACAUCCCCAUGCCAAUUUCGGCAUUUCUCAUAACAUUUCGUCAAAAUUAACAACAGAUCGCCCCUUUACAGAGAAAUAUGAAUAUGACCACGUGUAUACAUUUCAGUGCGAGGCAUAGGUGGCGAAACUCGUAGGUUAUUUAUCCACAUAAAAAUCGGUAGCCGUUCAUGAGCGCCAUAGGUACAAUGUAGAUGGACGUAGCUGACAUGUUAUCGGCUGAUUGAUGGACAGCAACAGAACAACAGCCACUUGGGGCCCAGACGGGAUGCCCAACCGCUGCCCAGCGUAUGGCCGACUGGGGCCCAUUCGUUGCCCAGCGUAAAUGCUGGCUGCGUAAACCUCUAUGGACUCGGGUCACGACCGAAGGUAGCUAUUUCAGCCUAUCGAGCUUGGAUCGCGUUCGGAUAUGUAUGGCUUCGAAGUGAUUUGCAUCAUGUCAAAAAUAGUAUCAUUUUUCAUAUGCCAGGAUAUUUGGCUACAUUGUAAAACAUCGUUUGUUUAUAUAUUUUAAUGCGUCUUUAGUUCCUGAAGCGCUAGAGCCUAGAGCACAUGGAGCGCCUACUGUGUGAUGGUGGGAGCAUUUGCGCAGCUCUAGUUCCGACUGCGGCCGUCAGGUGUCACUGCUGUCUGCCGGCUGCUCGCAGGAGUAUCAGCUGCCGCCUGGUGUAUAGUCUCUCUUGAAAGUAUCGCGUCAUGGGCAGCGCGGCGGCUCGGCGAACUAUUCCAUUCAGUUUGAGGACCCCAACAGUGAGGUCAUGGCCGGGCGUUUGAUUUUUCCUUUCUGAAGAUCCGUCGACCCGAGUUGUUCCCUUUAACCCUCCCCGUAUUGGUGUUUUGACAGCCGCGAACGUAUAAGGGGGGGGGGGGGGGAGUCCGUGAGCGUGUUGCCCGUGACGAGAGGAAGCCGAGAUACCCAAUUUUAAGGUCCUAGGUCAUCGGUUGACCUUCCAGGUCAGGUCCCAGGUCGGGUCAGUGACCCAAAAAUCGGGAAAAUCGGGACCUGUUAGAACGUCGUAAAGGGUGGCUGCUAUGGUUUUUUUCGGGGUACUGAUCACGAUUAUAAUGUUAGUUAUGAUCAUAGAUGAUGUCUUGAACUUCACACAUUUAGGCCACGUCGGGUCAGGUCAACCAGUAAUGGUUUUGCCGGGUAUUCGUAGUAGCUGGCAACCGCCUCUGACAGCUUCGGAACAUGUUACGAAGGCACCAAAAUACGUCGUAAAUGUUCAAAUGAUUGCUUGAUUCGAAUUCAGCUCCAAAAACUAGCCUAGAAACAUGUAAAACUCGAAAAAGUGAACCGAGGUAUCAAAGGUCAAUGACCUGACCUGACCUUCCGGUGACCUUGACAACUACCCUAAUGCUUGGGACUACUACCUAAUAUCUUGCGUUGGCUAUGGGUCUUGUGAGCUUUUGACACCUUGAUUUCGGCCUUUUUUGCCAGUCUUACCUCCCACCUAUCAUGGAACAUGUUGUUCGACGAUGUACCGAUGUCAAGGUCAGGGUCAAGGUCAACCUAGGUCAUCUAAAAACAUUGUGUUUUAGGCAAGCUGAAUUUACUUUUCGUGAAGUUUCUUUGACUGUAUUUUUGAUAAAAGCUUCUCAUUUCAUGAUUUCAUGUAACAUGGACACAUAAACAGUCUGUGCAAACAUCAGUAUACCUACACACAGACACACACAUCCAAAAAGUCAUCGGAUUUCAUCCUCUAUUUUUUGGAGGGGGCCCAAAUAAAUUAAAAAUAUUUAAAAAAUGAAAAAAAAUGUUAGAACUGAGGGGCAAGCAGUCCAUGGGUCCCUGCUAGAUAGGCCCACGAUUAGCUUCACAGAGUCGCUCAGCCGGUUCUGAAGGCGUUCUUGUGGCCCCGUAGGUCGGAUGAGGGUCCUUCAGAAAUCAGACCGCCAAAGGCCCCUACAGCCCAUGAGAGCCUCGUAAGCCGUCUGAGGGUCAUGUAAGCCGUCUAAGGGCAGGGGCGUAGCCAGGCUUUUCUUAAGGGGGCCAAUCAGACCGAAAGGGGCCCAUGUAAGCGAAGGGGCCCAACAUUUUCUUAAUUUCAUGACGUAGUUAUUUGCUUAACUACCUUAAAAUUACGAAGGGCCCCUGCGAACCCAAUGGAGGGCCCCGAGGGGCUCAGUGGCAAAGCCUCAGGCCCGAAGGGCCCUUUUAUAACUAAUGAAGAGAGCCCAGAGGGCCCUAGCGGCAAGGUCUCAGGCCCGAAAGGCCCUUACGAACCCAGUGAAGUGUCCCGAGGGGCCCUUACGCUACUUUUGUUGUGCCCCUUACCAUACCUAUGACACCGCGAUGGGGGCCCUUUUGGGCUCCAGGGGGGGCAUGGCCCCUAUGCUCCCCCCUUGGCUACGCCUCUGCGUCCCACAGAGACCGGGCGGAGACGGUGAGUUAUGAAAAGUAGCGGGGUAUGAAGCGUUUUUCGUCUGGUGGUGGGACACCUGUGUGGCGAUUUUGAACGAAAUCGAGAGGGGUUCCCAAUAUGCCCAAAUAAGUAAAAUGGAAAUUGAUAAUUUCCAUGGAGUGCUCCCGACUGGUUUAGCAUGAAUAUCAAUGAACUGACUUGAUAAGUAUUCACAUUCAGACCGUUGAAGUAUUGUCUGUAUCCGCUGUCUGGCCCCUGUCUGAUUUUGGGUCCGUGUCUGAUACCCAGUCCGAGUCCGCUGCCCGGGCUGUCCGGUGUGUGCUGUCUCCACUGACUGUGCUGCUCACUGCUCAGUACUGACCUGUGGAGCAGUCCAAGUUUCCCAUCGAGCUCUGCCAACUGAAGUUGCGCAAAUGAAGUCGCUGUUAAUGGCUCUUUUUCAGUGCGAGCUCCCACCCGUUAAGAAGUUAUCGUUGUCAUCUGCAUUAGAGCUUGAACGGGUGGCCUGUGAGGAUAUGUCUGCAUUUCUCAGAGGCUGUGACUGUGUGUCUGUCUGUGUGUGUCUGCUGCAGAAGGAUGGUGUCGCGGCUCUGGAUGGUGUCGGCGGCGCUAGACUCGGCCGUGGCUCCUCUGGCUCACUGUCCGGCGCCGCGGGCCGCUGAGCCAGCCGGAGCUCAGCGGUUCACCUCAGCAGGCCGGCAGGACACGUCUGUCAGUCACCAUACGUCUGGCCAGAAGCGGCCGACUCCGGCGGUGCCCUGGCGUGUCAACCGAGCCGCGGCCGGACGGCCGUCGCCCCCUCGCCGCCAGUGCCGUCCAAGUUUGUCUGCCAUGAGAUACGGGAACCGACUACGAGAGCGCCCUAGAGGGCGGCACCGGCGCGCCGGCAGCCCGGCGGGUGGAGUACCGCGCUGGCAGCGCCGGGCCCGCCGCCGCCGCCAGCCGCCGGCCGCGACCGCUCUCCCACGCCGCCGUCCCGGUUCGAGUCGCCGGCGGCGGCCCGGUCCCAGCCGGCUGACGGGGCGCGCUCCAGACGGAGUCCGACUGUGAGCCGGGGCGGGUCGGGGCCGGCUCCGUGCGGCAGACGACCAGCACGAGCAGCCAGCUGAGCCGGCGGACCACCGCCGCCGGCCAGGCACGGAGUGAGCCACCGAUCCAGGGAACGAGUCUGUCGGUGGCAGUGGAAUAUGAAGAGGAUCCGGACGGACAAA